rnacentral:rRNA from 1 species
GACGAACGCUGGCGGCGUGCUUAACACAUGCAAGUCGAGCGGUAAGGCCCUUUCGGGGGUGCACGAGCGGCGAACGGGUGAGUAACACGUGGGUGACCUGCCCUCAGCUCUGGGAUAAGCCUGGGAAACCGGGUCUAAUACCGGAUAUGACUCCAUGACGCAUGUUGUGGGGUGGAAAGCCUUGUGCGGCUGAGGAUGGGCCCGCGGCCUAUCAGCUUGUUGGUGGGGUGANGGCCUACCAAGGCGACGACGGGUAGCCGGCCUGAGAGGGCGACCGGCCACACUGGGACUGAGACACGGCCCAGACUCCUACGGGAGGCAGCAGUGGGGAAUCUUGCGCAAUGGGCGAAAGCCUGACGCAGCGACGCCGCGUGAGGGAUGACGGCCU